GAGAGGGGAGGAACAACCUCGCAGUACCUUCCUGUAGCUCCCCCUGUGCAGUGCCACGGGUUUUAUCAGUGGGAGCCCUGGCGUUAUCGUGCAGAGGGAGUGGAGAGAGUGAGCCAGCACGUUCCUUUUCUGGUGUCUACAGAAGAUGAGACAAGAGUACAACUAGAAGCGACGAUCUUCUAAACAACCCUGUGCUCAUGCUGAUGCCCCUCCCUGCUCCAGCUUUGUAUUCAGACAGGGGACCUGAUGUCCCUGUGCAGCUGGGCCAUCUCUUUUCCUUCUGCAGAUGUGAGUUUUUGCUGCCAGGAUGGGGUGCAGACACAGGCAAUGGCUCUGGGACCCACUGGGGUCUGGCACAGGGGGGGUCUGGCACAGGUCUGGGGUGGGACCCCUCGCCUGGGUGAUCCUGUACAGGUGGGAGCUUGGUGCUAGAGCCAGCCCCUCCCCAAAUAACCUGGCUCCUUCCUCGCUCCCCUGCCAUGAUCCCAGAGAAUAUGCAUUUUGUGGGCAGUGAUGAUCUGCUGACGGCCCGGGGAUGGCAGAACAAGGGUGUGGAGACGAGGAAGCAGAGGGCUCAGCUCCAAGAGGAGGACUAGCCAGCUUGCCGUUGAGGCAAAGGUAUCUCCCAUCCCUCAGGGAAGCAGAAAGCUCCUCCUUGACCUUUAGUCCCUCAUUUGUCAAUGGCAUCAGUCCAGCUUUUAUAGCUGCUUGUCCAACUCAAUUCCUCAGCCUCCUUUGGAAGGACCUGAGCAGAGCAGAGGGCUUCCCAGCCCCCCUGGCUCCGUCUCCCCAGCACUGCCCUCCCAGUGCAUGACGCAGGCGAGGCCAACUGAGCUCGGGCAGUUACAUCCACAUUACCCCUAAAAGAACAGCUUGGGCGUAGGCGUUUUGACAGCUGAACCCCAAUAUGUGGCCACCCAGCUGGUGGUCCCCGAGCCGAGCUACUUGUGGGUGGAAGAGGCUUGAGCACAGGCUCUCAGCAGGGGCUAGCACUGCUGACUAGGGUGUUCCCUGGAGGAAUAAUGACUGCCAAGGGAAGGAAUGGGCUCAGGGACAAGGAAAAUCGUCCACUGCGAGUUACCUCGUGACCGUGAGGUUGGACCUACCCAGCCCACUGCUCAGCCACCAGAGAGCAGAGCUGCUGUCACUGCUCGCUGGCCUCGUCUGAACCGUCACCCGCUCGCAGGUGAACAACACGCUGGCCCCACAGGCGAUUAAUUAUUAUAUGAAGACCAAGACCUGUGUGACUGCCUGACACUCACAACUUUCAUUCUCACUCGUAGCGUGGCCCCGCACUGCCUAAAACUGUUCCCUGGAAAUCGCUCGCGAGCAUGUUCCGCGGCGCCAGGCGUGUCAAUAACACUCCUGCUGACUCCUCAGCCAAGCGUUCGUCCUAUCGGUUAUAGACCUAAUGAUUGCCACUAUUUCCACCCCCCCUUCUCAAUGUCUUCACAAUUCAAAGUUCACUUUUUAUAGCCAACCAGGCAUGCAGGCUUGCUGCCUCCUGCCAGAAAGCUGCCUGUUAGCGAUGCUUGGAGGACAGGGCUCCGAAAUAUCUCACGUGCCCCCCUUUGGUUCCGUAUUUCAGAAAAUACGAAUAAAGCUGCUCCCCGCAGUUAGGUACGUCAAUUACCUUGCAGUCCAGGUAAGCUUUAGCUAUUGACAUGGAUCACUCCACAGCAAGGAGGAAAUAAAGUGCUGAUGCCAAUGAAACCAACUUCCAAGUCUGCUACACCCUAAUAAGAAGUGCCACUUGAAUGUGUAAAGUCUUCCCGUGCAAGGCUUCUGUCUAAUCAUUUGCUCGAGCAAGAACAUUUGACAUGCAGGUUGCUCGUUUUCUCCUGAGGUGUUUCACAACCUGCAGGCUACCUCCUGGUAUCUGCGCUGCCGCUGUCGUGCACAGCAGGGACACACGGGAGGACUGCUAAAAGCAGCCCCUCAGGAAAAAUACAGUGGCAGAAUGGGAUAUCCAUCUCGUAUUAAUAGGAAAUAUAGGAAAAAGCCUUUACAGGAAUCCUGUUUUCGUAAGGAUCUUUGACACCCACAGUUGAGCUGACCGAACGACUUUGGAAGUUUCAUUCCCCAAAGUGCUCCCAGGUCGGUGUGCCUACCCCAGCGGAGAGCUCGCUCCGGUCCUCCACGUGUGGCUUGACCCAGGUUCUCCAGUAGGGACCAGGUAACAGUGAGUCCCACAAGGCUGGGCAUGCCUCUGGAGAGUCUGGAUCUUUUAAAGUCAUUUCCUCCUGCCUUCCUGAAGAGCUGCUCUGCUUUCCAUAUCCCAUCUUGGGUGAGCACUGCUCCAGGACACAAGCUAGCGCACCGGGAAUGUCAGCUAAUCCCAGCUAACUCACCAGAAACACGCAGUUCCCAGGAGAGGGGCAGCUACAUUUCUUCUGCGAGCCCUGCCGUCUGAAGACGUCUGCCCCGAGCACCCGUCAGCGCCUUCCUACGGUGACCAAGGCUGCCCGUCCUCCUCCUCUCCGAGUGCUCCGGGCUGUGAUUCACCCUGCUCCUGAGUCAUGCGUGAAGGCUAGUCCAACAGUGAAUGGUCAUUCUAAGGAGCUCGGAGCAUCUUAAAGAGUGCUUGGUUUUGCAGACAAACGCAAAGCACCCAUCAGAGAUUGUGCCAUCUGUGUUAAAGGUAACGGGCAUCUGAGUUGGCCAAGUUAACAGACUGCCAAGAGGCUUUGCAGCUCGAGAAGGCUGGUGUGGUGUCUUUCUGUGCCAGACACAUUUGGGGAAGAGGAUUCAUUUUCAAUACAGUCUUGGUGCGCUUCCUGAUCCAUGGAUAUCCAAGCUGGAUCUCUCUCAGUGAUGGGCUUUGUGCACACAGCUAGCACUGGUUAGCUUCAGCUUAAGGGGAGUCUCCACAUGUUCACCCUGUUCUUGGUGUUUUCCAGCUUGAAAUAAAGUGCCUUUGGCAUUGCAG